GAGGACUGUAGCUCAGUGGCAGAGCAACUGCUUCGUGUGCAGUAGGUACCGGGUUCAGUUCCCAACAUCUUUA